UACGUAGGGUGCGAGCGUUACUCGGAAUUACUGGGCGUAAAGCGUGCGCAGGCGGUUUUGCAAGUCGGAUGUGAAAUCCCCGGGCUUAACCUGGGAAUGGCAUUUGGGACUGCAAGGCUGGAGUGCGGCAGAGGAGACUGGAAUUCCUGGUGUAGCAGUGAAAUGCGUAGAUAUCAGGAGGAACACCGAUGGCGAAGGCAGGUCUCUGGGCUGACACUGACGCUCAUGCACGAAAGCGUGGGGAGCAAACAGG
rnacentral:rRNA from 1 species